UCCUCUCGCGAGAGAAGGACGGAAAGCUGCCAUCUUGGCUUCCGGUGUUUCCACCCGUCUUGUGGCACAGUGGUUUGGGCGGCGACACGCGAGGCCUGGGCUAUAGUUGAAUGGGAGGAACAGGGCGGAAACUGCGGCUGGGCGACCACGUGCCUGACUCCCGCGGUGUGGCUCUCUCGUCCUCAGUCCCAGGAGCCCGAACUCCGCCCUGGGGAUCUGGAGUGGGAUGUGCACCGGCUGAUGCGUUUGAGGGGCCAAGUCGUGAGAGCAUCAUCUUCUUGGAAGGUAAAAUUGGGUCCAGAAUGACCUUCCGAUAUAACGGUCUGCACUCUAGCUUGAGAUGCAAAGCAGGUUAUGAAGUAUAUACCGUGAUAACCAAGCAACUGGACUCAGCCCAGGCUGAAGGCUGCUAAAGUGUGCCCAUAAAAGAAUUGCACUGUUGAGCUUCUCUGUGGUUGACUACUCCUCCUGCACGUGUGAUGAGAGCCAGGAGUUUCCAUCAACUGGAUCUGCAUUAUCUAAACCUAGUGAUGCAUUAGAGGCAUUUUAACAAAUAAUAAUAGCCAGUCAUAAAGAAGAAGAAAGAAGGAAGGAGGGAAGGAAGGAAGGAAGGAAGGAAGGGAGGAAAGAAAGAAAGAA